GAUGAACGCUGGCGGCGUGCCUAAUACAUGCAAGUCGAGCGAACGGAUGAGAAGCUUGCUUCUCUGAUGUUAGCGGCGGACGGGUGAGUAACACGUGGAUAACCUACCUAUAAGACUGGGAUAACUUCGGGAAACCGUAGCUAAUACCGGAUAAUAUUUUGAACCGCAUGGUUCAAAAGUGAAAGACGGUCUUGCUGUCACUUAUAGAUGGAUCCGCGCUGCAUUAGCUAGUUGGUAAGGUAACGGCUUACCAAGGCAACGAUGCACAGCCGACCUGAGAGGGUGAUCGGCCACACUGGAACUGAGACACGGUCCAGACUCCUACGGGAGGCAGCAGUAGGGAAUCUUCCGCAAUGGGCGAAAGCCUGACGGAGCAACGCCGCGUGAGUGAUGAAGGUCUUCGGAUCGUAAAACUCUGUUAUUAGGGAAGAACAUAUGUGUAAGUAACUGUGCACAUCUUGACGGUACCUAAUCAGAAAGCCACGGCUAACUACGUG
rnacentral:rRNA from 1 species